UGUUUGUUUGUUUGUUUGUUGUUUCACUCUGAAUGGAAGUGAGAAAUCACAUGACGUUAAUCAUCUCACUAGAUGGAGCCUUGUGUAACGGCUGGAGCAACAGGUCAGCGUGUAUGUCACGGACACUAACUGACUGACUCUAUGGUGCAUCUGGGAGUCCUGGAGACCGAAAACGACUGACUCCAGGAAACCCUCAUUGUUGAGGCUCUGUGUGUCCUUCCAGGGCAGGGACUCUCUCUGUGGUCUCCUUGGUGGAUACAGACACUAUCCUAAGAAGAGAAGUCAUCACACAUGAAACAAGUCUGAGAACGAACACCUAAGUGUGUGACAAGGAGAACUCUAAGCCAGACGCUCUGCUCAGGACCUGUCUGGGGGGUCUUUGGCUCCUCACAGCCUUGCCUGGAGUUUCUGCCCUCUGUGAAGGGGUCCUUCCUGCUCCUCACCCUGUGACUUCUGAGGCUCAAGCCAGCAUACUCGCUGCCACUUACACACAGAUCUCUGCCUUCAGUCAGCCAGCCAGCCUGUGAUAAACGACACCAUGGCCUAUGUGUUAAACUUGGUGUGACUCUGGAGUGCUGGUGUCAAGGAUACACCCUGCAGGCUCUGCAGUCGUGAUUCAGCAAGGAGGGGCAAGGCACCGGAUGUGCCUGGAAAGGGAAGCCUGAAGCUGGAGGAAGCAGCACCUGGAGGACUGGCGCUGUGGUGGGCACUGCAGAGCCACCGUUUUCUGUUAUGAUCUGGAAGCUCAGCCGUUUUCUCCUCGGUACCUCAGCACCUCUGCCCUCUCUUAGGACCACUGUCCCCCCAGUCCCUUCUCUCACCAUGCCAUCCUGUCCCCAGAGAUCCACUAGGAAUGUGGGGUGUCUGCUACCUGCUUUGUCCCUAUCGGUCAAGAAAGUCUUGGGCCCUAGGCUUCGGUUCCAUCCUGGCAGCUUACUGGCUGGGCUGUGAGUGUGGGCAGAUGCGCUUCUGGAACCUUCUUGUCUUAUCGUCCUCAAAGGACGGACAGUCAAGCUCUGCCUGUUCAGGCUUUGGAGGAGCUGCUGAGGCAGCAUGCGAGUGCUCCUGUUAUCAUAACACAUUUUCUCUCACAAUUACUAAAAA